rnacentral:rRNA from 1 species
GCGGCGGACGGGUGAGUAACACGUGGGUAACCUGCCUGUAAGACUGGGAUAACUCCGGGAAACCGGGGCUAAUACCGGAUGGUUGUUUGAACCGCAUGGUUCAGACAUAAAAGGUGGCUUCGGCUACCACUUACAGAUGGACCCGCGGCGCAUUAGCUAGUUGGUGAGGUAACGGCUCACCAAGGCGACGAUGCGUAGCCGACCUGAGAGGGUGAUCGGCCACACUGGGACUGAGACACGGCCCAGACUCCUACGGGAGGCAGCAGUAGGGAAUCUUCCGCAAUGGACGAAAGUCUGACGGAGCAACGCCGCGUGAGUGAUGAAGGUUUUCGGAUCGUAAAGCUCUGUUGUUAGGGAAGAACAAGUGCCGUUCAAAUAGGGCGGCACCUUGACGGUACCUAACCAGAAAGCCACGGCUAACUACGUGCCAGCAGCCGCGGUAAUACGUAGGUGGCAAGCGUUGUCCGGAAUUAUUGGGCGUAAAGGGCUCGCAGGCGGUUUCUUAAGUCUGAUGUGAAAGCCCCCGGCUCAACCGGGGAGGGUCAUUGGAAACUGGGGAACUUGAGUGCAGAAGAGGAGAGUGGAAUUCCACGUGUAGCGGUGAAAUGCGUAGAGAUGUGGAGGAACACCAGUGGCGAAGGCGACUCUCUGGUCUGUAACUGACGCUGAGGAGCGAAAGCGUGGGGAGCGAACAGGAUUAGAUACCCUGGUAGUCCACGCCGUAAACGAUGAGUGCUAAGUGUUAGGGGGUUUCCGCCCCUUAGUGCUGCAGCUAACGCAUUAAGCACU